rnacentral:rRNA from 1 species
AACGAACGCUGGCGGCAUGCCUAACACAUGCAAGUCGAACGAAGGCUUCGGCCUUAGUGGCGCACGGGUGCGUAACGCGUGGGAACCUGCCCCUCGGUUCGGAAUAACAGUUAGAAAUGACUGCUAAUACCGGAUGAUGACUUCGGUCCAAAGAUUUAUCGCCGAGGGAUGGGCCCGCGUAGGAUUAGCUAGUUGGUGGGGUAAAGGCCUACCAAGGCGACGAUCCUUAGCUGGUCUGAGAGGAUGAUCAGCCACACUGGGACUGAGACACGGCCCAGACUCCUACGGGAGGCAGCAGUGGGGAAUAUUGGACAAUGGCGAAAGACCUGAUCCAGCAAUGCCGCGUGAGUGAUGAAGG